ACCAUGGAGAGCUCAGACUGCACAGAUGUGCCUGGUGGGAGCCCUUUCACCUGAAACACAACAAUCCAUUGGGAGACAGAAGCUUGGCCCACAAAUAGGAAAAGCACCCCAGGAUAGAGUAGAGCUGACAUGGCCGCUGUGCCCAGCUAGGUUGAUGAGCUGGAAUACCAGGACCAUGGAGGGGCUGACAUCACAGGCAGCAGGUAAGUUCUACGGACACAGUGCAGUAAAAAAAA